rnacentral:lncRNA from 1 species
AAGAACCUCCUUGAUGGUUGAUCAAAUCUGAGACAGAGAGAGCCCUUGUUAGAAAACUACUGUGAGUGAUGUCCCUUGGAUAUGUAAGUCUUCUCUUGGAAAAUUAAGUGACUUGACAGGCAAUUUUCAAGGGCUAGUAGAGAAUGCAGUGACAGCAGCCAAUCAGGUUCUCAUAGAUGGUUUUUGAGCUAGGAAUCUAAACUAGUAGAUUGUGAGGGAACCUCAGUGACAAUCUAAGCCAAAAAAAAUGGAAUGGCUUGUUCAGGAACUCACUAUGAAGCAAACAGUAAAGUCUUCUACAUCCCAUUUAAGUGUUUCCCACCAUGCCUUGAAACUUAACAUCAAUACAUAGAACAUUGUCUUAAGUAUUCAAUGAACCAGCAGAGUGUUUAGAGGUUCAAUUAUGGCCUGCCCUUUAUUAUCUGGACCUGCUAAGCACAGAUCACUAUUUGAAGGAAGCCAUAAACCUAUGGCCAUCCCCGAAGCUCAGUUUCUUCCAGGGUUAAGAGGUUGGGAAGGGGGUUAUGAGAAAACUUUUUUGAGUUCAUGGGAGAUUAAAGAAGGAGGUAUCUGAAAUCGUUGAUAUAGGACUUAUUCAUAAAUGACUGGAGCAGUAACCUGGGUCAGAGUCUAUGGCACAGGAGGUAGGACAAGUAGACAAAAUAAAGGGAAAGAAAGGAAGCACAUCCCAAGAAUAUUGCUAGGGUCUAUACCCUUGUGUAUGAAAUCUUCUAGACUGAAUCAACAUCCAAAGGCAUGAUAAUUAAGGAGAAAUAAAGACAAUGCAAGCCAGGGAAGGAAUUCCAUAUUAUAUGCUGGAGUUGUAUAGACAGACUGAAGUCAUAACAAUAGUGUGAGACAUACUGGAUCAGAUUCCAUGUGCUGAUAAUAUACCAAACUCUCAUAUAAUAGCAAUUUCAGUGUAGGCUCAUAGGGUUCCAUAAAGCCAUUGUUAUUUUGUAGGUGACUCUGUAAAAACCUGGAAUAAAUGUCGAUAAACUUGGUUUACAUGAGGACCAUUAUUGCUCUAAAUAUGAAGCAUAUAAGCAACUAUAAACAGAGUGCCCAGUGGAAGGGUUGCACAGUAACAAAAUAACUGGUAGGUUGAGAUGGUUGCAUAAUUGAGUAUCACAUUCUGUUUAGAGAGAUCUGAGGCAUUCAUAAACAAGCAUAAGGCCAGACCAGUGGAACACUUCAGCAGCAUGGUAAAACAAAAACUUAAAAAGUAGAGUAAGGAAGACCUUGAAGACUAGUGUUUGGAGGUGUCCAUUGAGCAUGGAGUUCUAAAUACUGCUUUCCACACCAUAAGUUAGUUUGAAAAUCUGGCCACCCCUUUAGAUCAUGGGCCUUUGAGUAAAAGAGAGAGAAUGUGUGUGUUUGGAAAUGAAAUCCUGAAUAAAGUGUUAUGUUGAUAAUCAGUUGGAUUUGUUUUUGACAUUUGUUCCAAGACAGUUGAAAAAUUUGUUGCAUAGCUGUGAGCAUUAGAAUGUG